rnacentral:rRNA from 1 species
GUGGGGAAUAUUGGACAAUGGGCGAAAGCCUGAUCCAGCCAUGCCGCGUGUGUGAAGAAGGUCUUCGGAUUGUAAAGCACUUUAAGUUGGGAGGAAGGGCAUUAACCUAAUACGUUAGUGUUUUGACGUUACCGACAGAAUAAGCACCGGCUAACUUCGUGCCAGCAGCCGCGGUAAUACGAAGGGUGCAAGCGUUAAUCGGAAUUACUGGGCGUAAAGCGCGCGUAGGUGGUUCAGCAAGUUGGAGGUGAAAUCCCCGGGCUCAACCUGGGAACUGCCUCCAAAACUACUGAGCUAGAGUACGGUAGAGGGUAGUGGAAUUUCCUGUGUAGCGGUGAAAUGCGUAGAUAUAGGAAGGAACACCAGUGGCGAAGGCGACUACCUGGACUGAUACUGACACUGAGGUGCGAAAGCGUGGGGAGCAAACAGGAUUAGAAACCCCGGUAGUCC